rnacentral:rRNA from 1 species
GAUGAACGCUGGCGGCGUGCCUAAUACAUGCAAGUCGAGCGAACGGACGAGAAGCUUGCUUCUCUGAUGUUAGCGGCGGACGGGUGAGUAACACGUGGAUAACCUACCUAUAAGACUGGGAUAACUUCGGGAAACCGGAGCUAAUACCGGAUAAUAUUUUGAACCGCAUGGUUCAAAAGUGAAAGACGGUCUUGCUGUCACUUAUAGAUGGAUCCGCGCUGCAUUAGCUAGUUGGUAAGGUAACGGCUUACCAAGGCAACGAUGCAUAGCCGACCUGAGAGGGUGAUCAGCCACACUGGAACUGAGACACGGUCCAGACUCCUACGGGAGGCAGCAGUAGGGAAUCUUCCGCAAUGGGCGAAAGCCUGACGGAGCAACGCCGCGUGAGUGAUGAAGGUCUUCGGAUCGUAAAACUCUGUUAUUAGGGAAGAACAUAUGUGUAAGUAACUGUGCACAUCUUGACGGUACCUAAUCAGAAAGCCACGGCUAACUUCGUG